rnacentral:rRNA from 1 species
GAUGAACGCUAGCGGCAGGCCUAAUACAUGCAAGACGAACGGCAAGAUUUUUAGCAAUAAGAGUCCUAGAGUGUCGUAAGGGUGCGUAACACGUAUGCAAUCUACCCUCAACAGGAGGAUAGCUCCCCGAAAGGGGAAUUAACACUCCAUAAGAUCACAUAAUGGCAUCAUUGAGUGAUUAAAACUACGGUGGUUGAGGAUGAGCAUGCGCAUGAUUAGUUAGUUGGCGGGGUAAUGGCCCACCAAGACGAUGAUCAUUAGGGGAACUGAGAGGUUGAUCCCCCACACUGGCACUGAGAUACGGGCCAGACUCCUACGGGAGGCAGCAGUAGGGAAUAUUGGACAAUGGGUGCGAGCCUGAUCCAGCCAUGCCGCGUGCAGGAAGACGGCCUUCUGGGUUGUAAACUGCUUUUGCCAGGGGAUAAAACGUCCAUGCGUGGAUAAUUGAAGGUACCUGGUGAAUAAGCCACGGCUAACUACGUGCCAGCAGCCGCGGUAAUACGUAGGUGGCAAGCGUUGUCCGGAUUUAUUGGGUUUAAAGGGUGCGUAGGCGGUUCCAUAAGUCAGUGGUGAAAUACGGCAGCUUAACUGUCGAGGUGCCAUUGAUACUGCGGAACUUGAGUACAGACGAGGUAGGCGGAAUUGACGGUGUAGCGGUGAAAUGCUUAGAUAUCGUCAAGAACACCGAUAGCGAAGGCAGCUUACUAGACUGUAACUGACGCUGAGGCACGAAAGUGUGGGGAUCAAACAGGAUUAGAUACCCUGGUAGUCCCCGCUGUAAACGAUGAUUACUCGAUGUUGGCGAUACACAGCCAGCGUCUUAGCGAAAGCGAUAAGUAAUCCACCCUGGGAGUACGCCCGCAAGGGUG